rnacentral:rRNA from 1 species
GACGAACGCUGGCGGCGUGCUUAACACAUGCAAGUCGAACGGAAAGGCCCUGCUUUUGUGGGGUGCUCGAGUGGCGAACGGGUGAGUAACACGUGAGUAACCUGCCCUUGACUUUGGGAUAACUUCAGGAAACUGGGGCUAAUACCGGAUAGGAGCUCCUGCUGCAUGGUGGGGGUUGGAAAGUUUCGGCGGUUGGGGAUGGACUCGCGGCUUAUCAGCUUGUUGGUGGGGUAGUGGCUUACAAGGCUUUGACGGGUAGCCGGCCUGAGAGGGUGACCGGCCACAUUGGGACUGAGAUACGGCCCAGACUCCUACGGGAGGCAGCAGUGGGGAAUAUUGCACAAGGGGCGGAAGCCUGAUGCAGCAACGCCGCGUGCGGGAUGACGGCCUUCGGGUUGUAAACCGCUUUCGCCUGUGACGAAGCGUGAGUGACGGUAAUGGGUAAAGAAGCACCGGCUAACUACGU